rnacentral:lncRNA from 1 species
UGACAUGCAGGGGGGCAUUGCUAAAACUGCACCAGGGUGAACUGGGGUGAAGCACCAUGGAAGAGAACCAUAAGUGCCACAUCUCAGGCGUGUGAGAGGUGCUGGGGCAGGAGUAAUGGGCCCUGGACCAGUAGCUAGGAUCCAGGCUCAGCAUAUCCCAGCCAUGAAGGUGCUGGGCCUCGGAAGGGAGGAAGCGCAUGACUCAGCAGCACAGCCGAGAGCUGAGUCAGCAGGGCCAGCAGAGGCUAGAAGAGGAGAUGUGGACAUGGAUACCUGGGGGCUGGAUCAAAGGGAAAUUCAGGA